AGCCCUGGAACCUGUAAAGUUUCCUUUAUAAGGAAAAGGGGUUUGCAGAUGUGGUGAAGUCACAUGUGAGGAAAAGGAGGUGGCUGCUUUUCAGGGCGAGCCCUGCACACAGUCAGUGUCCUCAUAAGAGAAGCAGAGACCCGAGCCGUGCAGCCAGGAGCCAGACACAGCGGGAGCCAUGAAGCCUCUGGAGAGAGCACAGCCCUGCCGGCCCCGGCUGUGGGACUGCUGCCUCUGGAGCGGAGAGAACAAAUGUCUGCGGGGUUAGGCGGCCAGCCUCGUGGCUGGCUGUUAGCUGCAGGAAACAGGUAAAGUGGAGCCUUCUCACAUGACUUCAUUUCUCUGCAACCUCACUGAAGAGCAUUUUCUUUCCUCAAUUAGAAACAGAGUGGGAUGGUUGGAAGGGGGCCUGGAGGCUGCCGCAGCUGGCCCUUGACUUUACAGACGAGGGAGAGACCUGCGCAGGGUCACGCAGCCAGGAAUGAGGUGAGGAGUAUCACAUACGGAGGACAAAACCACACAGAGACAGCCAGUGGCCCACGUCCCCAGCCCGGGGCCCCCACCCUGAUACUGAAUGACGUCCAGCUGUUGAGUGGCUGUGCCGACCAGCUCUUCUAUUUCCUUAACCAUGGGAGUGAUGCAGGAUGAGUCAACUCUGUCUAAAUUCACUACUAUUACAAUUUAGCUCUGCCAUUGGAUAACGCCAUUUUCUCAGGAGGUGACAGUGUUGGCAAUCAUUGAAGAGUGAGUAGCUGUGACGACACGAGGUGCGGCUCUCACGGUCGGUGACCGUGUCUGUGCAUCUCCAGAAGCCUGGUUUAUGCUGGGAACACCAGAGCGUCGUCUCCUAUGCCCUUGAGCAUGCACUUCAAGGCACGGAAAGAACGUAUGUGAGCUGUUUCCUCCUGUUUUCCAAGCCAGCAUCUGCACUGUCUGAUGACUUUGGUACUCUACAGCAAACAGGCCUGCGCACAGGUUACAAAUACGAUUUUGAACUGCAUAUUAAAAAUUGUACUGGCUGAGACGGUUUAAUA